AUAUCAGUCAUGCAUAGCAUAUCAAUAAGCGGAGGAAAAGAAACUAACAAGGAUUCCCUUAGUAACGGCGAGUGAAGCGGGAAGAGCUCAAAUUUGAAAUCUUCAAGGUUUUACCUUGACGAAUUGUAGUUUAAAGAAGUGUUUUCUGUUGAAGUUUUGGUAAAAGUUCUUUGGAAUAGGACAUCAUAGAGGGUGAGAAUCCCGUAUUUGACCAUUACUCUCAGCUUUGUGAUACACUUUCAAAGAGUCGGAUUGUUUGGGAAUGCAGUCCAAAAUGGGUGGUAAAUUUCAUCUAAAGCUAAAUAUUGGCGAGAGACCGAUAGCGAACAAGUACCGUGAGGGAAAGAUGAAAAGAACUUUGAAAAGAGAGUUAAACAGUACGUGAAAUUGUCAAAAGGGAAGCGUUUGACACCAGUGUUGUUUUCUCGAAAAUCAAUUAAAAAGAGUCGGAUUUUGUGUUGUAUUGACUUUAUCAGCUUUCUUCACUCUUUUCCAGCUUUUUUUAAUGCACUUUUCGUUUAACAAGUCAACAUCAGUUUCUUUUGUUGUAAAAAGGUCAUUGGAAGGUGGCUUUCUCUUCGGAGAAAGUGUUUAUAGCCUUUGACUCAUGCAAUCGGAGAGACUGAGGUCUGCAGCGUAGAUCCUUCGGGGUUAGAUACAUUUGUGCUAAGUUAUAGCUUUUCAUAGACAACUUGUUGACUAUGUUUAGUCUUGUAGCUUACUCGCUUAUGCUAUUUUACCUACGCUUAGGAUGUUGAACUCUAUCACACACAG
rnacentral:rRNA from 1 species